rnacentral:rRNA from 1 species
CGUGCCUAAUGCAUGCAAGUCGAACGGUCUUUUCUAUGGAAGCUUGCUUCCACUGAGAAGAUAGUGGCGAACGGGUGAGUAACACGUGGGUAACCUGCCCAUAAGAGGGGGGAUAACAUCCGGAAACGGGUGCUAAUACCGCAUAGUUUUCUUGAUCGCAUGAUUGAGAAAGGAAAGACGGCCUUUGUGCUGUCGCUUAUGGAUGGACCCGCGGCGUAUUAGUUAGUUGGUGAGGUAACGGCUCACCAAGACGAUGAUACGUAGCCGACCUGAGAGGGUGAUCGGCCACAUUGGGACUGAGACACGGCCCAAACUCCUACGGGAGGCAGCAGUAGGGAAUCUUCCGCAAUGGACGAAAGUCUGACGGAGCAACGCCGCGUGAGUGAAGAAAGGUUUUCGGAUCGUAAAACUCUGUUGUCAGAGAAGAACAAGUUGGAGAGUAACUGCUCCAGCCUUGACGGUAUCUGACCAGAAAGCCACGGCUAACUACGUGCCAGCCGCCGC